CGAGCGCCGGCGCCCGCCCCUCGGCACGCUGGAGCCCGCCGGGGCCCGGGGCGCCCGGAGCUGCGCGCUGGCCCUGUCGCUGGGCACCACCUUAUCCCGACCGCAGACAUAGGCGCUGGGGAGCCAGGGAAGUCAGUGCUGUAGUGGGGAAGGGGCAGACUCGCACAGAGCUUCCCGGGGGAAACGGGGCCCCAGCCGCCUCCGUGGAACCACCCGAUCAAAGAAUAACUAUGAGGAACAAUGAACGCCAAAGAGGAAGCUCUCAGACAUGCUUGCGUGGUCAUCCGGAAGGCAUUGUCUUGUCUUCCCAAGUAGGUUGUAAAUUCCCAAAGGUCUCUUGUCUCUGUCCAGAGCUGUAAUAAACACCCAAUAAUUGUGUGAUAAGCUUCUAGCUUCUAGCCUGACCUUUCUUUUGCCAAGCUGCCUGCUCCCUUAUGACUACAUGGCUCUGAUAAAUGCAGACAAGGGCUUCUUCCCAUCAGUGACAAACCAUGUUGAAGGUUUCUUUGCUACUUCUCACCUGGCAGAUACAGGUGGUGACAAGCUCCGGUGCAGGCUGGCACCCCGGAGGACUUCCUCUAGCCAUCUCACUUCUCCAUCUUAGAUGGUGAAUACUUACUGUCUGCAUCACAGCCACGAAUUAACCAGCUUUUAUACCAAGGAAGAAUGAAGAGGAUCCGUUGGACAACAAGGAAGGGGACGUAUGCCGGGCACAGGGACCAGCAAAUGCAGACUCCAAGGAACGACACCACCAGAGCAAUAGUCCCCGUGUGGCAGCGAUAGUGGCAGCAGUGACAGUACUCAGGAUGAUGACAGACACGGCCAAUAUUGACUGAGUAUUCGAAUGCCGCGCACCCAAUAAGAGUUUUACAUGCUCUUGCCGUCUAGUCUUCACACUGCCAGGCAGCCUGCACGUCACCCACACCAUAGGGCAGGAGAAAGCCUUGAGAAGCAUGCACAGCUUGCCUGCCUUCAGGGGGCAGGAGGUAACCAGCAGGGCUUGUUUUUUUGUUCAAGCUGUUCCCCAGCGUUUUGCUCUCAGGAUUUCUUUAUACUCCAUAGAAAGGUGUCAACUGAUUUUUGUUUGUGUGAGCUACCCCCAUCAACAUUUAUCAUGGAAAUUAAAAUGGAAGGGGCAGGUGUUGUGGCACAGCUGGCCAAACCAGGGCCUGUGACACCCGCAUUCACAUCGACUUGUCUGGCUCAAGUCCUAGCUGCUCUGCUUUCCAUCCAGCUUCCCAAUCAUACACCCAAGAGGCAGCCGACGAUGCUCUUGCGUUUGCCACCUGUGUAGAAGACCCAGAUGGAGUUCCUGAUCCUCGGCUUUGGCCUGGCCCAGCCCUGGCUGUGGUGGGCAUUUGGGGAGUGAAACAGAAGACACAAGAUCUCUGUGUCUUCUCUGUCAGUCUGCCUUUCAAAUAAAGUAAUAUUUUUAAAAAAUUAAAUAUUAACUCAUUUAAAACACAA